GACAGUUUUUUUUCUUUUCAAACUGAGGAGUUCGGACUCCGGACCGGCAUUUCUGCUUGUUGGUACCCUGAGAUAACCAUGGUUAAUAAAUGGUCCGUUAUGACACGUCACUGGCUUUAAAAUAUAAACCCCAUUGAUGCAAAAAGAUGCUGCAUGGAAUGACAAUGAGGUUUGGAACAGACUUGGUGAAGAACAUGGAAACAUCUCUAAAUAACAUGGCCCCAACCAUCAUCAGGAGUGCAAAAGAAUGAAGUAAAAAACAUCUCUACGCCAAUCUCAUUGGAACAGCAGAGGAAACCACAGAAGAAAGAAAGCCGUGAACGUUUGAAAUAACGAGAACCCAAAGGUCCCACACCAACCAUAGUGUUCAACGGCUCUUCUGAUCCUCUCAAAUCUCAAAGUAUCAACUUUAUAAUGGACAAUGUGAACAUAAUAUGUGGAAGACAUUGACAUCACAGGCUGUGGAAUGACUGUUUGCGGGGUUUUUUCUCUUCAAUGUUCAAUACCCUUUUGCCAUUAAGCACACAGUGACUUUAAUUUAUAAAAUAUAUGCUUAAAUUUAAAUACCUGUACAAAACAAAUGUACAAUCAACUUGUGUAAAUUGUCAUUCUAUUUAAUAGAUUGUUCAUGAAUUGUCUUUAAAUGCAUUGUGAUUUCUUUUCAUCAUUUCAGAAACAUGUAAAAGUUACUAAAAAUUAGUACUGCAUAUACUGUACAGUAUCUUUGUUUAUAAAAACAGAAAAUGCGUAAGGGAAAUAACUUGAACAAAAUUUUUGAAUGUAUAGUGUAAUUAAGAGUUUAGCUGUUUAAUACAGAGAUGCAAUUUUAAUAUAUAUAUAUAUAUAUAUAUAUAUAUAUAUAUAUAACGCAUGUAUGUUUAUAAAAAAGUGAAAAUGCUUAGUGGAAAUAAUUAAAUAACUAAAUGGUUGAAUGAAAUGAGACAUUUUAAAUGUAAACUAAAUGUUUUGCUGUCUAAUACAGAAUAAAGAGAUGUGAUUUUAAGUAAUUUUUAUAGAUUUAUAUUUCUGUAUAAUACAAUUAAUAAAUAGUAAACUUUUAUAAUUUUCUGGAUCGGUUAUAAUUUCUUAUCAAUAAUAAAUUCCUCAUAAUUAUAAAGAACCUUUAAUGGUUCUAAAUAGAACCAUCUAACUUUGUUUCAAAGAACCAUUUGGGGUUCUUUUUAAUGAACCCAUUAAAGUGGUUCUAUAUUGAACCAUUUGGGGGUUCCAUAUAUGAAGCGGGUGAUAGAACCAUUUCUGGUUUGAUAUA